rnacentral:lncRNA from 1 species
GUGCGGGCGCACAUCUGGUGAAUAUUUAGAGUGUGUGUUAAAAAAGUUGCCAUAUUAAGGAGUUAAUAAAAACGCGCUGGCUCCCCAGAGGAAGAGGCUGAGCCCUCUGUGACCCCAGUCGGGGCUAACUGGAGCAACCAGCAGUGGACAGAGUGGGAAAAAAAUGUAACCCGUGCUUUUUCGCUAAGAAUGGAAACUUGAGAUGCAAAGAGUCUUCUGCUGUCGGAAAAAGCACUUGGCAUACAUUUAUCUGAGGAGCGGAUUAAUGGAGAUGUAUGUAGCCUUUUGCAGAACCAGCUGCGGAAAUAAAUAUAUAAACACGGGUUAUCUUCUCCUGCACACUUUCAUCAUGGGAAAAACCUUCACCUCUUCGUUAUCUGGGGAACAACUGUAUACCUUGAACACAACAGCCUUGUCCUUCAGUGUAAUCCAUAACUGUAUUUGCUAUGCACAGAUACUGCCUGGAUGCCUUGAGUGGUCUAUUUUAAUUCAUCCUUCAAAUGCAAUUCUUACUAGACCACACGUUGUCUCCUUCAGUAUAGCACUGAAUGUCUAGAAGCAGGGAAUAAAAUAUUUUC